ACCUACCCAUUUUCGUCUAUCUGCAGUCGACGCUUCUUUCCUCCGAGCGCUUGCUCUCAUUGGAAAGAGGAUUGUUUAAAAGAAAGUAACACGUGGGUAACCUACCCAUCAGAGGGGCAUCUACUUGGAAACAGGUGCUAAUACCGCAUAACAGAUUAUGCCGCAUGGCAUAAAAGUGAAAGGCGCUUUCGCGUGUCCCUCAUGGAUGGACCCGCGGUGCAUUAUCUAGUUGGAGAGGUAACGUCUCCCAAGUCCACUAUGCAUACCCCACCUGAGGGGUGAUCGCUCACUCUGGCACUGAGACACGGCCCACACUCCUACGGGAGGCAGCUGUGGGGAAUCUUCGGCAGUGGACGAAUGUCUGACCGAGCAACCCCGCGUGUGAGAAGAGUGUUUGGAGAUCAUAAAACUCUGUUGUUAGAUAAGCUCAG
rnacentral:rRNA from 1 species